rnacentral:rRNA from 1 species
CAGGAUGAACGCUAGCUACAGGCUUAACACAUGCAAGUCGAGGGGCAGCAGAUCGAAAGCUUGCUUUGAUGCUGGCGACCGGCGCACGGGUGAGUAACGCGUAUCCAACCUUCCCUAUAGUAGAGAAUAGCCCGGCGAAAGUCGGAUUAAUGCUCUAUGUUGUAUUUAGAGGACAUCUGAAGAAUACCAAAGGUUUACCGCUAUAGGGAUGGGGAUGCGUCUGAUUAGGUUGUUGGCGGGUAACGGCCCACCAAGCCCACGAUCAGUAGGGGUUCUGAGAGGAAGGUCCCCCACAUUGGAACUGAGACACGGUCCAAACUCCUACGGGAGGCAGCAGUGAGGAAUAUUGGUCAAUGGACGCAAGUCUGAACCAGCCAAGUAAGCGUGCAGGAUGACGGCCCUAUGGGUUGUAAACUGCUUUUAUACAGGGAUAAAGUGAGGGACGUGUCCCUUUUUGUAGGUACUGUAUGAAUAAGGACCGGCUAAUUCCGUGCCAGCCGCCGC